GGUCUUAUAGUCAAUUAUGACAUCAAAUUGCAAAUUUGAAAGUAGGAAUAUCCUUAAGGCUUA
rnacentral:tRNA from 1 species